GCACCGACCGUUUCUUUUCUUAUGGAAUCGAACCCAAACACAUAACCGUGUAUAAGAAGAGUUUUCCUCCUGAAGUUUGAAGACGCAUUUUCUCACUUCUUUGCGAGUUUCGAAUUAGGCAAGUGCAACAUGAGAUCUACAACCAAAUCUAGAUCAUCAAUUUCAUGUUUCUUUAUGCGGAAUAAAUUCUCAGUCUCUAUUGUGGUCGAUCAUUUCGUAUUCUGUAUUCUUUUUAGAGCGGAAGAAUUCUGAGAACAUAUAAGAGAAGAAAAUGAAAAGAUGAUUGGUACGGCGUACGGGAGUUUUUACUUGCUGAGAUUAAAGAAAAGACCAUCAUUCAGUUUUCAUUUGUGUUCAAGUUGUGGGUACCAAUGCAGCCUUUCCAUACAACGAUACAAGCUCCUGACAAAUCACCGUUGGAACUACAGAUAAGGACGCAAGUGCUGCACUCUCCAGCAACUUGGCUUCAUAAAGAAUCCGAGAAAAAUGUGUCACCGUCAAGGAUAUACAUGUAUCCAAGGUUGACCUAUCUCCGUUCCAGUCCUAACGAGUAGAGAAUAAAACCGAAAUAAAUGAUUAAGACGGUGGUGGGAUUAGCAGGAUUGUCUUGCGAUUCUUGGGCAUGAUACAGAAUCAGUCUUUGAUUCAUCCGUCAUGAUUCUCAAAUUACAAAAUUCUUACAUUGAUCAGUAAUGGAAUAUGCUGAAUAUCUCCUUCACUUCAUGUGGUAAGUUGUCACCUUCACAAAUAACUACUUGGUUUUUGAUGCAUUUUAGAUUAACUCUUAUCUUGAAGCAAUGUGUAGCUAGAAGAUUUGGUAAUGAAAAUAGUGAGAGAAAUCCUUGCUUUAAAUUGUGUGGUGCAUUAACCGCAUGUUGUAGCGCUGGGAAAAUUAAAACCAACUACUCCAACUGCGCCGAAUUUUAUAAGCUUUCUUGAUAUUCUCUUGGUUUUUGUUAUCUUUCUCAAUUCUUCCGGAUGUAUUAUAUGAGCUAAGUACCAUUAUUGUUUCGUACAUUAUCACGUUCCAGUCUGACCCUCCUGACUUUGGAGUAGGGCAGUCAGAUAUAAGACCGUACGGUUAGCAGUUCGGAAGAAAAAGAUGUAGAUCGUGCUUUGCUUCCUGAGAAAAUACUUUUCUACAGUGACAGAUAAGAUGGUAAAAUUUGGUUCGUCUCGAAAAUGAUUGUGCGGGUUGUUGUUGGAGUCCAACCUGGUGUUUGACUCGACAAUUUGUUAUUACAAACGAAUGUAUGGAGUUGGCAGCUCUAAAAUUUCUUAGUGAUUUUACUUUUCUUUCUGGGCAUGUAAGGUUUUGUUUCGCGAUGCUUAGCUGUUGGUUGUUCACCAUAUCCUCUAUCAUUAGUAUGCUUAGACGUUUAUGUAAGAAUUUCUUGCUUGA